UCCAAUUGCCCUAAUUUUUUGUGUGUUGAUCAUGUUGCAUGUUAUGUUCAUCCAUGAAUUUUCUCAAGAUUAUUUGAAUCAUUUUUGAAUUAAUGUACAUUUGUUCAUUUUGAUGUCACAAUGUGCUUCCAACUUGCAUACCUUGCCAUGUUUGGUUCAUGAAAUGAAUUUGGUGAAUGAUAAUGAGAUGAGACCUUUUGGAUGGUGUUCUUUAAUUGAUUGAGGUUGAUCCAUGUUGAAUUUCAUGUUCUGUUUUGA
rnacentral:lncRNA from 1 species